UACAGAGGUCUCAAGCGUUGUUCGGAUUCAUUGGGCGUAAAGGGUGCGUAGGUGGCGCCGUAAGUCAGGUGUGAAAUUUCGGAGCUUAACUCCGAAACUGCAUUUGAUACUGCGGUGCUUGAGGACUGGAGAGGAGACUGGAAUUUACGGUGUAGCAGUGAAAUGCGUAGAGAUCGUAAGGAAGACCAGUGGCGAAGGCGGGUCUCUGGACAGUUCCUGACACUGAGGCACGAAGGCUAGGGGAGCAAACGGG
rnacentral:rRNA from 1 species